rnacentral:rRNA from 1 species
CCGCACGGGUGAGUAACACGUAUCCAACCCGCCGUCUACUCUUGGACAGCCUUCUGAAAGGAAGAUUAAUACAAGAUGGCAUCAUGAGUUCACAUGUUCACAUGAUUAAAGGUAUUCCGGUAGACGAUGGGGAUGCGUUCCAUUAGAUAGUAGGCGGGGUAACGGCCCACCUAGUCUUCGAUGGAUAGGGGUUCUGAGAGGAAGGUCCCCCACAUUGGAACUGAGACACGGUCCAA